UUAACCUUUACAGGGGAGAGCAAAGUCACUAGCAUUCACUAGCAUGGGUCCUGGGUAAAUAUAGCCAGACACUCCUCUAUAGGAAGCGACUCCAGCUGAAGAACAAAGAGACAAUAAAGGGACCUCCAGCUGCUCUAAAGGGUGUUUCCGAACUCAAACAGCUGCUUCCGGAGUGUUAUUCUCACCUUCCCCAGCCUUUCAGCGGAAAUGUUUAUUGGCUCAUUCAGGAUGGAAGAUCUUCCCAGUUAGGCAAGUCGACGACGUAAAGACACAAUGGUGGGAGUUGGUGAAGCUUCCGCAGGAGCCCACCUCCAUUGGCAGCUGAGUUCAUCUGGGUGCAAGGAGAGCCGAGUGUCACACACACUGGGCCAGGUGCCUGGGAUUGAUCCUGCUCAUCCAUUCUGAAUUAUGUCAUUUCUGGUGCUGGAUUAACUUUUCCAAACUAAUAUUGAUGGCAGAGGUGUGUGGGGGUGUGGGAAGAUGUGUCGUCUGUCCAUCCGUUGUCCACCCCACCCCCAUAUACCCACACACACUCAUAUGCCUUCAUGCCUGGAGGACAGGACAAGAGGUCAGAAAGAAAGACACAGAGACUCCUGCCUGGAGUGGGCGAUGUUUGCAAUUGCCUGGCUCACCACUUACAAUCUGCCAGACACCCGUGAAGACAAGGCGGCUUCCUGUGACUCUCUCAGACCCUGGCUCUGGAAAGGUCCUCACAGCAAGAAAAAAAAAAAACCAAGAGACUCCUGGCCUAGAAGAACUUCCCUUUGGUUGCAUGGCUACUAUCCUGGGACUUGGGAGGCUAAGAAAAAAGGAUCGAGUUCAAAGCCAGACUGGGAUACUUAACAAGACUUUUAAAACAAAACACAAGCUA